rnacentral:misc_RNA from 1 species
GAUGAAGAACGUAGCGAAAUGCGAUAAGUAAUGUGAAUUGCAGAAUUCAGUGAAUCAUCGAAUCUUUGAACGCACAUUGCGCCCCCUGGUAUUCCGGGGGGCAUGCCUGUCCGAGCGUCAUUUCAACCCUCGAGCCCCCCCGGGGGCUCGGCGUUGGGGAUCGGCCCCUCACCGGGCCGGCCCCGAAAUACAGUGGCGGUCUCGCCGCAGCCUCCCCUGCGCAGUAGUUUGCACACUCGCACCGGGAGCGCGGCGCGUCCACGGCCGUAAAACAACCCAAACUUCUGAAAGGUUGACCUCGGAUCAGGUAGGAAUACCCGCUGAACUUAAGCAUAUCAAUAAGCGGAGGA